GCCGGAUUUUCGCCAUAGAUUAAAAUAAUUGUUAUUUUUCUGAUAAUUUCUAAAAUUGUAAUUAAUUAAUUUAGAUUAAUAAUUGAUUAUUUGGUAAAAAUAUCUCUAAAUGUUAUUUUUUUUAAAUCGGGAAAGUAUCACAAGCAGCUCAAGUACAUUAAGGCCGGGUCCAUGUCCUAGCCCAUAAGUACAUUGAGGCUUUUUAGGUUACUAUAAAGCGUUAUCGUUUUCUCAUAUCUUUUAUCAUAGCAUCGCCGCACUUUAUCAUAGUAUCGCCGCACUUGUCUUUCAUCUCUUUUUAUUCCCAAACUCUCAAAUUUAACUCAAAAGUUCAAUUGUGGAUGAAAUUUUUUCUGGAUCACAUCUAUUCCGAUGAGAUGAUUUCUCAUUCACGUGAUUUGUACAACUUUGAAGAUCAUGUUAUCAGAUCUUGUUCUCAUUGUUUUCAUAGUAUUAAUUCAAAUUUAUGUACAUGUAUUGCAUACAAGACAAUGAAUUGUAGUAAUAAUUUCAUAUAUAUAAUCGAUUUAUUGCUCAAAACAAUGAAGAAGGUGCUCCAAACCACGUACAUGUCUGAAAAUUCUUAACCUGUCCUGCCUAUAUUUUCUUGCAUUCUUGAUUGAUAAAUGUCAUAAAGAUUGGAUUUUGACAACAAGAAGAUGCAGACAUAUGUGCGAAGAAAGAAUAGAGACAAAAGGGUGAUUGAAAAUGAUAGCUUUAUCCAACCCAAUUCUCAGAAGCAGUCUCGAAGCUCAUCUUUAUCGAAACGAAGCCCCCCUUCUAUUUCCAAUCUCCAUGAUCAUGAAAAAGGUCUUUUCUGUGCUUAUCAAUCAAUUUAAAUUUCUGUAUGUGUGUGUUUGUGGUUGUGUGGUUGUUUUCGCUAAUGUGGAUUGGUUUGUGUAUAUCAAUUGAGCUGCAUUUUGAUUUGUCAAUUAGUGGCCGUCAAUCUAUAGUGUCUGUUUGUUUUGUGAUUGUUUUUCCCCAACUUAACACUCGUUCACAAAAUUUGAGUUUACUUGUGUUUCCAAACCUGACGCUGUACGACAGAGAUAGCGUAACAGUGGUGGUCGAGGGUGGCGGCAACGGUGGUUCUAGAAUUAGUAUGAGAUCAAUGAAGAUGUAAAUUGUGUCUUAAUUGAAAGUGUUUAUUGUGCCUCCUAAUUGAGGGUGAGGGUGUUAAUUGUGUCUCUUAAUUGGGGGCGUUAAUUGUGUCCUAAUUGCAUACGUUAAUAUUUAUUAAUUGUACCUUAAUUGAGAGCUUAAUUGUCUCGAUUAUGAGUUAUCAUGAUUGUGGGAAUAUCUUGAUACAAUCUGUUAUAUAUAUCGACUGAUAUUUUUCUUA